GGGUCGUUAGCUCAGUUGGUAGAGCAGUUGACUCUUAAUCAAUCGGUCGAGCGUUCGAGUCGCUCACGACCCACCA
rnacentral:tRNA from 1 species